GGAAUAUUGGACAAUGGGCGAAAGCCUGAUCCAGCCAUGCCGCGUGUGUGAAGAAGGUCUUCGGAUUGUAAAGCACUUUAAGUUGGGAGGAAGGGCAUUAACCUAAUACGUUAGUGUUUUGACGUUACCGACAGAAUAAGCACCGGCUAACUCUGUGCCAGCAGCCGCGGUAAUACAGAGGGUGCAAGCGUUAAUCGGAAUUACUGGGCGUAAAGCGCGCGUAGGUGGUUCGUUAAGUUGGAUGUGAAAUCCCCGGGCUCAACCUGGGAACUGCAUUCAAAACUGUCGAGCUAGAGUAUGGUAGAGGGUGGUGGAAUUUCCUGUGUAGCGGUGAAAUGCGUAGAUAUAGGAAGGAACACCAGUGGCGAAGGCGACCACCUGGACUGAUACUGACACUGAGGUGCGAAAGCGUGGGGAGCAAACAGGAUUAGAUACCCUUG
rnacentral:rRNA from 1 species